GCAGUGGGGAAUCCUACGGGAGGCAGCAGUGGGGAAUAUUGGCCGAUGGGCGAAAGCCUGAUCCAGCGAUGCCGCGUGAGUGAUGAAGGCCUUAGGGUUGUAAAGCUCUUUUACCCGGGAUGAUAAUGACAGUACCGGGAGAAUAAGCUCCGGCUAACUCCGUGCCAG
rnacentral:rRNA from 1 species